rnacentral:rRNA from 1 species
CAAACUUGGUCAUUUAGAGGAAGUAAAAGUCGUAACAAGGUUUCCGUAGGUGAACCUGCGGAAGGAUCAUUAUUGUAAUAGGCUUGGGAGGUUAGAUGCUGGCCCGUGAAGGGCACGUGCGCGCCUCCCUCCCUCUCGUCCCUUUACACACCCCUGGUUGGGGAUGUCUCCCUCGGAGGCGUUCCCUUCCACCCUAUACCACAUCCUGUCCAAUCGCAUGUCUUUGAACGCUCUACGGAGCGGGUAACAUUUUGUACAACUUUCAACAACGGAUCUCUUGGCUUUCGCAUCGAUGAAGAACGCCGCGAAAGCGCGAAACGUAAUGUGAAUUGCAGAAUUCAGUGAAUCAUCGAAUCUUUGAACGCAUCUUGCGCUCCUUGGUAUUCCGAGGAGCAUGCCUGUUUGAGUGUCGUGAAGUCACUCGACCCCCCCUUUCCCUUAUGGGAGAGUGAGGGGUUGGAUUUUGGACGCUUGCCGGUUGGUCCAAUGAGGCCGCGGCUCGUCUUUAAACGCAUCAGCUGGCCCUUUCGAGUCGGUGUAACGACGGUGUGAUAAUAAACGCUUUGUUGACUGCAGCGCCGUCUGGCCGAUUUGGAUUAGGGUUGCUUAUAGUUGUCUUCGGACAGUGCCUUUCAUGUCGUCUGACCUCAAAUCAGGUAGGACUACCCGCUGAACUUAAGCAUAUCAAUAAGCGGAGGAAAAGAAACUAACGAGGAUUCCCCUAGUAACGGCGAGUGAAGCGGGAAGAGCUCAAAUUUGUAAUCUGGCGGUCUCUGGCCGUCCGAGUUGUAGUCUGGAGAAGCGUUUUCCGCGUCGGACCGUG